AUUUGAAGGACAAGAAGCCAACUUCAAUACUGAGACAGAAUAUCUCACUGCAUCUAAGGCAGCACACCAGUGCAGGGAGCCCAAGAGAAGCUAUGUGGUGAGAGAAGGAAAUGGCGGGGGGUGGGGUCAGGAGGAUCAGCUGCAGCGUCUGCCUCCUGAGGUGGUUAUUCUGCCUUAUUCCGCCUUAUUUAGCCCUGGACUCUGUAUUCAACAAGGGGCAUUUUUGUUUUUACCUACUUGAAUAAUUUGGUGUCAUCAACAAACCCAGCCACCUCCUCAUUCCUCACCCCUAUUUCCAGAUCAUUCAUGACCAAUUUCAAUAAUGAUGUCUGGGGGACUCCACUUUUUAAAUCCCUCCAGUGUGAGAACUGCCAACUUAAGGGUGUAUGUUGGAUCAAAUAAAGGCUUGGCCCAAGACAGUGUGAGAAUUGGCAACACGAGAGUGGGCCCUUUCGGCAGUGGCUCCCUGCUUGUGGAAUGCUCUCCCCAGGGAGGCUCACCUCAUGCCUUCAAUACAUGUCCUUAGGCACCAGGCAAAACCAUUCCUCUUCUCCCAGGCCUUUGGCUAAUUAAACAAUCGACAGUCUUUAAAACUGCUUUUGUGGGGUAUUGUUUUCGUUUGUUACUAUGGUAUGUAUUUUUGUGUUCUAUUCUGUUAGACGCCCUGUGAUCUUCAGAUGAAGGGUGGUAUAGAAAUAAUCAUCAUCAUUUUCUUUAAGUGGAGAAGAAAUACUUCACUCCCCACUUCACUCUUACCCAAAGCUCUGAAAUAUUCAGAUGGAUCUUCUGAACCAACAUGAUAGAUAGAAAGUGUGGAGGGAGGAGUGUCUGGCAUUUGCAAUGAAAUUCCUUACACUCUCUUUGUAAGUGCUUCCAUAAAGAACCUUGAUAUCUGUUCCAUUACAUGAAACUUCCCAGAAAAGCAAAGUCACUGUAAAAAAUAUAUCAGCCAGCCAGUAGGUUGGCAAGUACUUCACAGAAUUUAAGUUCCUUACUCUUCAUGGCUACUCAUAUCUUCUCUUUUACUAUAUGCUUUAACAGAUUUACAUUACUGGUAACUGAGCCAUACCUUAUAUACUGGGGGGAAAACAACCCAAACUUAAAAUGGAAAAGCUAUGAGAAUUUAUUAGGUCUCUGGAUUAUGCUACAGCAAAAUGUUAAAAUGAACGAGUUAUCUUCAAGCAAUCCAAAAUAUUUGAAAGAUAUCUAGACAAUGGCAUCAUGCAAUUUGAACCAACUAGAACAAGAAGUUAAGGCUUUUGAAAAAAACCUCUUGGCUUGUACAUUCUGAUAUUAUCCCCAUUAUUCUCCUCCUCUUUUAAUCCUCACCACACCCCUGCCACAACUGGCCCAAGGUCACUCAAUGAGCUUCAUAGCUAAAUGGGGAUUUGAACCCUGGUUUCCCCUAGGUCCUACUUCAACACUCUAAACCACUACACCACAAUGCCAUUGUCAAGGUAAAUGAGAGUAAUACUAAGACAUAAGUAAGUAGCCAACAAAUAUAUCAUCGGUUUUGACAGCAUGUGAGCAGCUGGCAAAAGCAGAUAACAUUUUAGAUACAUAUUUUAUGCAACCCUAUAGGUAUUUAAGAUAUUUAUAGUGCGAUCCUAAUCAGUAAUAUCUAUUUAAUCCAAUGAUUAUAUAUUCACAGGUAAAUGGGAUAAGGAUGGCUGCAUUAGAUCCUGGAUUUCCACCAUUUAAGACAGAAAUUGGCAACUUGUGGCUCUCAAGAUGUUGCAGGAUGACAACCCACAUCCACUCCAGCCAACAUGGCUAAGUCCAAAGCCACGCCAGAGUAGUCUGAACAUUUUCAGACAAAUUACAUACAAGACAAUUGUAGAGAUGAAGUGUAUCCUCUUUUAAACACUCAGAAUGGUAAAGGC